rnacentral:rRNA from 1 species
CGGGGUGCAGCAGGCGCGAAAACUCUACAAUGCAGGCAACUGCGAUAGGGGAACAUCGAGUGAUCCUCAUAUUGGGGGUCUGUCCCACCGUCUAAAAAACGGUGGUUAGCAAGGGCCGGGCAAGACCGGUGCCAGCCGCCGCGGUAAUACCGGCGGCUCGAGUGGUGGCCGAUAUUAUUGAGUCUAAAGGGUCCGUAGCCGGCUUUGCAAGUCUCUCGGGAAAUCCAGCGGCUUAACCGUUGGUCGUCCGGGGGGUACUACAUUGCUUGGGACUGGGAGAGGUAGGAGGUACUCAGGGGGUAGGAGUGAAAUCCUGUAAUCCUCUGGGGACCACCGGUGGCGAAGGCGUCCUACCAGAACAGGUCCGACGGUGAGGGACGAAAGCUAGGGGCACGAACCGGAUUAGAUACCCGGGUAGUCCUAGCCGUAAACGAUGCUCGCUAGGUGUCACAACAGUCGUGAACUGUUGUGGUGCCGUAGGGAAGCCGUGAAGCGAGCCACUUGGGAAGUACGACCGCAAGGUUGAAACUUAAAGGAAUUGGCGGGGGAGCACAAGGGCGAUUCGCG